AGCGGCGGACGGGUGAGUAAUGCUUAGAAAUCUGCCUAUUAGUGGGGGACAACAUUCCGAAAGGAAUGCUAAUACCGCAUACGCCCUACGGGGGAAAGCAGGGGAUCUUCGGACCUUGCGCUAAUAGAUGAGCCUAAGUCGGAUUAGCUAGUUGGUGGGGUAAAGGCCUACCAAGGCGACGAUCUGUAGCGGGUCUGAGAGGAUGAUCCGCCACACUGGGACUGAGACACGGCCCAGACUCCUACGGGAGGCAGCAGUGGGGAAUAUUGGACAAUGGGCGGAAGCCUGAUCCAGCCAUGCCGCGUGUGUGAAGAAGGCCUUUUGGUUGUAAAGCACUUUAAGCGAGGAGGAGGCUACUUAGAUUAAUACUCUAGGAUAGUGGACGUUACUCGCAGAAUAAGCACCGGCUAACUCUGUGCCAGCAGCCGCGGUAAUACAGAGGGUGCGAGCGUUAAUCGGAUUUACUGGGCGUAAAGCGUGCGUAGGCGGCUUUUUAAGUCGGAUAUGAAAUCCCCGAGCUUAACUUGGGAAUUGCAUUCGAUACUGGGAAGCUAGAGUAUGGGAGAGGAUGGUAGAAUUCCAGGUGUAGCGGUGAAAUGCGUAGAGAUCUGGAGGAAUACCGAUGGCGAAGGCAGCCAUCUGGCCUAAUACUGACGCUGAGGUACGAAAGCGUGGAGAGCAAACAGGAUUAGAUACCCUG
rnacentral:rRNA from 1 species